AAUGAACGCUGGCGGCAGGCCUAACACAUGCAAGUCGAGCGAGCAUUUCGGUGCUAGCGGCGGACGGGUGAGUAACGCGUGGGAACGUGCCCUUUUCUGCGGAAUAGUCCUGGGAAACUGGGGGUAAUACCGCAUACGCCCUUUUGGGGAAAGAUUUAUCGGAGAAGGAUCGGCCCGCGUUGGAUUAGGUAGUUGGUGGGGUAAUGGCCCACCAAGCCGACGAUCCAUAGCUGGUUUGAGAGGAUGAUCAGCCACACUGGGACUGAGACACGGCCCAGACUCCUACGGGAGGCAGCAGUGGGGAAUCUUAGACAAUGGGGGCAACCCUGAUCUAGCCAUGCCGCGUGAGUGAUGAAGGCCUUAGGGUUGUAAAGCUCUUUCAGCUGGGAAGAUAAUGACGGUACCAGCAGAAGAAGCCCCGACUAACUCCGUG
rnacentral:rRNA from 1 species